AUUGAACGCUGGCGGCAGGCCUAACACAUGCAAGUCGAACGAGUGGCGGACGGGUGAGUAAUGUCUGGGAAACUGCCCGAUGGAGGGGGAUAACUACUGGAACCGGUAGCUAAUACCGCAUACCAUCGGAUGUGCCCAGGUGGGUUGAGCUAGUAGGUGGGGUAACGGCUCACCUAGGCGACGAUCCCUAGCUGGUCUGAGAGGAUGACCGGCCACACUGGAACUGAGACACGGUCCAGACUCCUACGGGAGGCAGCAGUGGGGAAUAUUGCACAAUGGGCGCAAGCCUGAUGCAGCCAUGCCGCGUGUAUGAAGAAGGCCUUCGGGUUGUAAAGCACUUUCAGCGGGGAGGCGUUACUCGCAGAAGAAGCACCGGCUAACUCCGUGCCAGCAGCCGCGGUAAUUC
rnacentral:rRNA from 1 species